rnacentral:ncRNA from 1 species
GUUGCUGUUGUGUGGGUUGUAAUUGAUGAAAACAUAUCCGCGUGCCUGAUCAAUACAAUGAAACAGUGGGUUCCAGUCGAACAUCGACAGCAUGAAGCUUGGCAGGGUAUUGGCGAGAAACAUUUUGCCCGAAGCUAUCAUAUUAGCACGCUG